UAUUGAAUCUUCGUCAAUGGACGAAAGUCUGACCGAGCAACGCCGCGUGCGUGAAGAAGGUUUUCGGAUCGUAAAACUCUGUUGUUAGAGAAGAAUGUUGAUUAGAGUGGAAAAUUAAUCAGGUGACGGUAUCUAACCAGAAAGGGACGGUUAACUACGUGCCAGCAGCCGCGGUAAUACGUAGGUCCCGAGCGUUGUCCGGAUUUAUUGGGCGUAAAGCGAGCGCAGGUGGUUUAAUAAGUCUGAUGUAAAAGGCAGUGGCUCAACCAUUGUGUGCAUUGGAAACUGUUAGACAUGAGUGCAGUAGAGGAGAGUGGAAUGCCAUGUGUAGCGGUUAAAUGCGGAGAUAUAUGGAGGAACACCGGUGGAGAAAGCGGCUCUAUGGACUGUCACUGACAAUGAGGCUCGAAAGCGGGGGUAGCAAAAC
rnacentral:rRNA from 1 species